GUGUUUUAUUGAAGCUGAGAAAAGAAGAGAGAUGGCCAAGAACUCGCUAGAGAGGUAUACUCAUUAUUACGAAAGAUGGGCAACUAACCAAUCGUCUAGGCAAAAAGCACUUGCAGACUUACAGCAAAUGCAGAGCGUGCAUCUUGAGAAGCUGAGUGACAUACAGUGCCAACCUGAGUCAUAGCUAAAGUUCAUAACAGAGGUCUGGCU